CAGUAGCCGCGGGAAUACGUAGGUGGCAAGCGUUGUCCGGAAUUAUUGGGCGUAAAGGGCUCGCAGGCGGUUUCUUAAGUCUGAUGUGAAAGCCCCCGGCUCAACCGGGGAGUGUCAUUGGAAACUGGGAAACUUGAGUGCAGAAGAGGAGAGUGGAAUUCCACGUGUAGCGGUGAAAUGCGUAGAGAUGUGGAGGAACACCAGUGGCGAAGGCGACUCUCUGGUCUGUAACUGACGCUGAGGAGCGAAAGCGUGGGGAGCGAACAGGAUUAGAGACCCCAGUAGUCCCUGUCUCUUAUAC
rnacentral:rRNA from 1 species